UGGGGAAUUUUGGACAAUGGGCGAAAGCCUGAUCCAGCAAUGCCGCGUGUGUGAAGAAGGCCUUCGGGUUGUAAAGCACUUUUGUCCGGAAAGAAAUCCUCUGGGUUAAUACCUCGGGGGGAUGACGGUACCGGAAGAAUAAGCACCGGCUAACUACGUGCCAGCAGCCGCGGUAAUACGUAGGGUGCAAGCGUUAAUCGGAAUUACUGGGCGUAAAGCGUGCGCAGGCGGUUUUGUAAGACGGAUGUGAAAUCCCCGGGCUUAACCUGGGAACUGCAUUCGUGACUGCAAGGCUAGAGUAUGGCAGAGGGGGGUAGAAUUCCACGUGUAGCAGUGAAAUGCGUAGAGAUGUGGAGGAAUACCGAUGGCGAAGGCAGCCCCCUGGGCCAAUACUGACGCUCAUGCACGAAAGCGUGGGGAGCAAACAGGAUUAGAUACCCUGGUAGUCCACGCCCUAAACGAUGUCAACUAGUUGUUGGGGAUUCAUUUCCUUAGUAACGUAGCUAACGCGUGAAGUUGACCGCCUGGGGAGUACGGUCGCAAGAUUAAAACCUCAAAUGAAUUGACGGGGUCAUAGCUGUUUCC
rnacentral:rRNA from 1 species